rnacentral:rRNA from 1 species
GUUACGGCGGUGAGCGAUGAGCAUGCCGUCCGUAUUAGCUGGUUGGCGGGGUAACGGCCCACCAAGGCGACGAUCGGUAGGGGGUCUGAGAGGACGAUCCCCCACACCGGUACUGAGAUACGGACCGGACUCCUACGGGAGGCAGCAGUAGGGAAUAUUGGGCAAUGGGCGAGAGCCUGACCCAGCCCAUGCCGCGUGCAGGAAGAAGGGCCUACGGCUUGUAAACUGCUUCUUUCGGGGAAGAAAAAGCUCGUGCGCGAGCCAUCGACGGUACCCGAAGAAUAAGCACCGGCUAACUCCGUG